rnacentral:tRNA from 1 species
GCAGUGGUGUUUCAGUGGUAGACUUCUUGACAUCCAAGCAAAAGACCCAGGUUUGAUUCCUGGCCAGUGCA